GGCCCUCCGGCUGAGCCCUGAUCUCUAUGGUUUCCGCGGCUCGCUAGAAGGAGUGUGGUCCACCGGAGGACUCCCUACAUUCUUCCUCCAUUACCUCACUGCCUCCGGUGGCUGCUGGGAUACCGGAGGACUCGGGUCCCGGCUCGACUCAGUCCUCCAGCCGCCCGGGGAAUACCUCUAGUUCUUCCCGGCCGCCGCCGCCGCCGCCGCCCCGCCGCUUCCUCCUCCGCCUGCCGGCCUCCUUCGCCCCGUCCCGUCCGCGCAGCGCGUCCGGCCCGCCCGCAGGCCAGCUUCUCUCGGGAGCCCCCACCCAGGCGCAUGGCUCCAUGAAGCAAGAGGAGGAGGCAGAGCGCGAGAGGUCCCGUCCGCCCCAGCCGCGUCUGGGCCAGGAUAAAAGCAAAACCAUAUUCCUGCUGCUGUCAGUUAUGAUGCACUGAGAAAACUUCAGAGACCUAAACUUUUUCCAGAGAAGAGAAGCUUUACUGGUGUUCCAGCCCUAAGAAACCUUUGUUCAAGAAAACGGCAGAUGCUCUGUUGAAUCCACUGGAGAUUGUUCUGAUACUAAGGACAAGUAUCAACCAUCUUUCCUGUGAAAAAUUCCCUCUCGUACUUUAGUUCUGUGGAUCCAAAAUUUAUAGCAUUCUUCUACCACCACAGGGGCUCAUAUGACAUUAACAGACAAGACACUUUUCAGAAAGACAGGUUGUUCUUUUGGGCCACAUCUAAGAAAUCUUUGUCUAGCCAAAAGCCACAAAUAAUUUCUCAUUUUUUGGCUUCUGGAAGAUGUACAGUUAAAUGUUAUAUUUGGGACUGUUAUCUAAUUUGAUUAAAUUGCACUCUACAAUAUGAUAUUUGAAUUGAUGAAAAAUUAGUAAAUGUUAAUAUUUUUUAAAGUAAAAAAAAAAAAAAAAAA
rnacentral:lncRNA from 1 species